UUAGAAUUACCAUCAAAUACGCUCUAAAUAAAAUCAACAUAAUUAUUAAAUGAUUCAUAUUUGAAUCACAUAAAUUAUCAUUACUUUAUCGUUACUUUUUACCUUGGCAUGAUAUGAACAUGACCUAUUUCCAAGGAUAUGGUAUAAAAAUUCACCAUUCUAAAAGUACUUGUAAAAUAUGUAUCAAUUUUCUCUAAAGUAGAAAACCUCAAGAUGACAUGAACAUGGCCCAUUCCGGGGAUAUGGUAUAUGAAUUCACCAUUCUAAAAGUACUUGUAAAAUAUUUAUCAAUUUUCUCUGAAGUAGAAAGUGAAGUUAAAGAAGCCUAGGAGUUUGCCAGAUAAGAAUAAUGGAGGAAGAGAAGCUGUGGAUGCAUUAUUGAUAUUGUUGAAUAUUGUGCCCUUAAAGAUUGAGAAGAACAGGGACAUUUUAGAGGAGUGGGGGCUUCAUGGGUUAGCGUGAAUAUGCUCUGCCACUUGAUAAAAUGGUAGUACCAUGACUAUCCCAGAAUUACUAGGAGUAUGACAUCUGACUGUGUUUUCUUGAUUGAAAAAUAGGCCAUUAAAUGUUAAAAUAAAUGAAUAAAAAGGGCAAAUCACUUCCCACCAUAGGUUGAGUCAACGUCUGAGUGUUCAUACAGCCUCAAAACCAAGUUGCAGGUAACGUACCAUAGAGUGAUAGGUGGAACAAAUCCAUCGACUGUGUGAAGAGGUUGCUGCUUUCUGAUCCUUUUCACCAACUCCAUCAAUAUCCAAUGCAAUUCAUCCUCUGUUUUGUUUCUUCUUUGUGGCAAAGGAUGUAUAAUCAGAAAACUAAGAGGAACACAAGCUUGGAUUUCCAGGGAGUCCCAUACAAUUUACAGAAAUCAAAAACUCCAAAAGAAAGUGAGGGAAGGGGAAGAGAAAUAGAAAGAAUCUCCAUUCACAACUUUGAAGCUCUCUUUCCCUGAUUCUUUCUUUUCUUCUACCCUUUUUUUCUUUUGGUUCUCCUCCUCCUGUUCUGAAAGUAAAUAAAAGGCUUUGUCCCAAGUUAAAUGUUACAUUGUACAUUAAAGAAUUAAUUAGGCGUGGACCUGGAUUUACACCAGAUGAUGGUCCAUGAAGGGUCCUUGCACUAGGUAGGACCUGGAAAACAGCUAGCUUCUUCAGGUGGCACCGAGGUCCAUGGGCGUGGCACAAGGGGCUAGAGAUUUUGCAGGUAGGUUCACACCAUCACCUCUGAUGGAUGCAGUAGGGCCUCUAACCGAGCUGGCUCUGCUCACAAGAUUUGAGUCAAGAAAUACAACUAUGACUGUGAUGUCAUCAUGGAAAUGCCGCCGGACACCACGAUCUAUCUUCUUCAAAUCUGAGUACCUCAUUUCUCUUUUCUUAGCUGCUUCCUGCAAGGCAGCUUUCACCAACCUCCGAGCACUUCCCUGCAUGAAGGAAAGAAUGUAAAAAUCACAUUUUCCAAUAUUUUUAGUUCAUCUCUAAGAUGGUGUUUGAUGCACGUCUUCAUCUAUAACCUGUAAGAGGUUCAAUUCACAUCCAUGAUUGAGUCCAAAUAAACAAAUGAUAGAGAUAAUGAUCAUAAGAAAUAGAAUCCAGUUUAUCAUAGCACAUGAUGGACAGAAAUCUGCAUUAAGUAAAGAAAUAGAUUCUAGGCAAACUACAAUGAAGGAGCAGAACUCAAGUUAUACCAAGGAACCAACACUGAUGAUCAAACAGAUGACCCAAAGUCAUGUCUCUUUCUACGCCUGUAAAUUAUAUCGUGACAACUAGACACUUAUCAAUACCAAGGUGAAGUUCCAUAAAGUCCAAUAGCUUAUAAUCCUAGAUUCUAAAUAGAAAUUAAAUCUUUCUUACUAGGCCAAUAUAGCUCCAAUUUCAAGUCUCAAGAAAUUCUUGGAUGUAAAAGAAUUACAAGUAAAACAAAGCUGGCAUUUACUGAUGAGAUAAAUAUGCCAUGCUCUACAAGUGCUUUAGAACCAAUCAACCUUAUCAACAGCUACUUGAUAGCUACUAAGAAUUCAUGGAUGCAGAAACCCACAUUUAACAAAAUUGAAAUGGCUAUCUAGUGCAGAGAUGGAUAUCUUACAUUUCGGGGGUGAUUUUGUACUAUAUCAACAGCUUCUUCAUUUUUAAGGUGCUCCCAUAGCCCAUCAGAAGCAAAUAUGAGAAAUUGAUCAUUGGGCUGGAGUUCAAGAACUGAAAUUGAAGGUUCAGCGCUUAAGAUUGGCCUUUUCAAAGGCUCCCGAAGUCGAAACUUGACAUACAAAGGCUCCCUGUUAAAUUCAGCCUUUUUGAGAUAUACAUCACCAAUAGAUCUAGAAAUCUGCAAUAUCAAAACUGAGACAGUAAGAAAAAACUGUCCACUAUGUCAAGAAAAAUCAAGUAAUUCCAUAUGGAAAACUACAUUACCACCCAACUUCAAGUAAAUCAAUUAUCAACAAAUUCUUCAAGGAAGCAUUACCAAAACAUCCACAUCAAAAUAUACAAUUUGUUAUGUUUGCCAUAUACUCGUCACAAUAGCAUAGAAGAAAUAAGAUAAAAAAACACAAAAAAUCAACCACAAGAAAAUAUGACCUCUUCUCCUUUGCCAUGCAUGUUGUCAAUUGUCAUCAGAUAAAAAUGAUUAAGAGAUUAAACACCCAAAAAAAAAAAAAAAA